rnacentral:lncRNA from 1 species
AAGUGCAACAAACUGUUCUUCAUGCCUUUUAUAGCAUAUAUCAUAUAAGUGGCUUUUUUGGAAUCUUAUCUUAUAAGUUUAGAAAAUUAUGAAAAUGAUUCAAUUUUAAGAUUAAUUAAGGGAAUGAUCUGAUAUUUAUAAUAGAGUUAGAUGUCGCUACUUUUUCAGAUGUCAUCGCUUUAAAAGUUCCCCCAAUAAUACUUUAAUCGUUACAAAAAAUAAAAAAAUAAAAAAAAAUUAUCACCUAACAAUUUGACAGUACCGAACUGAAGUGUGCGAGGACAAAACGUUCACGGACCUGAUGAAUUAGUUAUCCUUUUUAGAUUGGUUGAAAAAAAAGGGUGUGCAUGAUAAUAUGGCCGCA